AAUGAACGUUGGCGGCAUGGAUUAGGCAUGCAAGUCGAGCGCGAAGAGUCAUUUGCUUGCAUUUGACUCUGAAAGCGGCGUAAGGGUGAGUAACGCGUAGUUACCUACCUCCGGGUCCGGAAUAGCUGCGGGAAACUGCAGGUAAUGCCGGAUAACAUCUCAGGAUCAAAGGUGAGAUUCCGCCCGGAGAGGGGACUGCGUCCUACUAGCUUGUUGGUGGGGUAAUGGCCUACCAAGGCUUCGAUGGGUAGCGGGCGUGUGAGCGUGGCCCGUCACACUGGGACUGAGACACUGCCCAGACACCUACGGGUGGCUGCAGUCGAGAAUCUUCGGCAAUGGGCGAAAGCCUGACCGAGCAAUGCCGCGUGCGGGAUGAAGGCCCUCGGGUUGUAAACCGCGAAAGUAAGGAGGAAGGACCUGCGAAGAGUAGGUUUUGACCGAUCUACAGUAAGGACGGGCUAAGUUCGUGCGAGCCGCCGCCGUAA
rnacentral:rRNA from 1 species